GAUGAACGCUAGCUACAGGCUUAACACAUGCAAGUCGAGGGACCGGCGCACGGGUGAGUACCACGUCUCCAACCUGCCCUUUACUCGGGGAUAGCCUUUCCAAAGAAAGAUUAAUACCCGAUAUAAAGGAUGGGGAUGCGUUCCAUUAGGUUGUUGGUGAGGUAACGGCCCACCAAGCCUUCGCUGGUUAGGGGUUCUGAGAGGAAGGUCCCCCACAGUGGAACUGGGACACGGUCCAAACUCCGACAGGAGGCAGCAGUGAGGAAUAUUGGUCAAUGGGCGUUAGCCUGAACCAGCCAAGUAGCGUGAAGGAUGAAGGCUUAUGGGUCGUAAACUUCUUAUAUAUAGGAAGAUGUAUUAUAUGAAUAAGGAUCGGCUAACUCCGUGCCAGCAGCCGCGGUAAUAC
rnacentral:rRNA from 1 species